CCUACGGGAGGCAGCAGUGAGGACUCUUGGUCACUGGCCGGAAGGCUGAACCAGCCAAGCCGCGUGAAGGACGAAGGUGCCAAGCAUUGUAAACUUCUUUUGUCAAGGGACAAAAUCAGGCUCGAGAGCCUGACCGAGGGUCCUUGAAGCAAAAGCAUCGGCUAACUCCGUGCCAGCAGCCGCGGUAAUACGGGGGAUGCGAGCGUUCUCCGUAUUUAUUGGGUUUAAAGCGUGCGUAGGCGGACUGUUAAGUCAGCGGUAAAAGCCCGGGGCUCAACCCCGGCGAGCCGUUGAAACUGGCUGUCUGGAGAUGUCGAGAGGUAUGCGGAAUGCGCAGGGUAGCGGGGAAAGGCUUAGAUAUUGCGCAGAACUCCGAUUGCGAAGGCAGCAUACCGGCGGCGAUCUGACGCUGAGGCACGAAAGCGUGGGUAUCGAACAGGAUGAGAUACCCCAGUAGUC
rnacentral:rRNA from 1 species